rnacentral:rRNA from 1 species
UACGGAGGGGACUAGCGUUGUUCGGAAUCACUGGGCGUAAAGGGUGCGUAGGCGGGUCUUUAAGUCAGGGGUGAAAUCCUGGAGCUCAACUCCAGAACUGCCUUUGAUACUGAAGAUCUUGAGUUCGGGAGAGGUGAGUGGAACUGCGAGUGUAGAGGUGAAAUUCGUAGAUAUUCGCAAGAACACCAGUGGCGAAGGCGGCUCACUGGCCCGAUACUGACGCUGAGGCACGAAAGCGUGGGGAGCAAACAGG